rnacentral:lncRNA from 1 species
UUCUGCUUUAGAGCAUGUAUAAAAUUAGAGAUAACAAAAUGACACUUAAUAGAUGCUGGACAUGUAGAGGGAAAUGUAGCUUUUAAAGACAUUUUUCUUCUAUUCCUGGCAAAAGUAAGCGAGGGAAAGGUGAAUGUAGCAGGUACAAAUCACACAGGCAGAAAAUACAGAGGAAAGACCUAAAGCCUAACUCAAUUCUAUGUAUUUUAGUUAUGGAAAUCUGGCCAAGUCACUCCCCUCCUUGCAGGGAUUGUUAUUACUUUAUUAUGAAAAAAUUGAAACAGUUGUCUUCUCUACUGCACAGGGUUGUGGCAAAAACAAAAUGGCAUUGUGAAUGUAAAAGUUCAUUAAAAACUCUAAAAUGUGAUAGCAUAAUGUAAACCACUUUUUUUUUUUUUUUUUUUUUCCGAAACGGAGUCUCGCUCUGUCGCCCAGGCUGGAGUGCAGUGGCGCGAUUUCGGCUCACUGCAAGCUCCGCCUCCCAGGAGGAUGGCUUGAGCCCAGGAGUUCAAGACCAGCUGGGUCAACAAAGUAAGACCUCGUCUCAAC